CACUGAGGAGAAGGCACUCAAGGCAGUGGUAUGACUGAUAUCCGUUCAUGUUCCUUGUCCGCAAAUGAUUCCCGACGUUUCAGCACCUAGGCAACAGUGCUGGACAGUGGAUUGGUGAAAGGAAAAACACCCAGUUGGCUACAUACUACAAUGCAACAGCAAAUGUAAAGUCAAUCACAAAUGGUGAAGAUGAAAAAUUCUUUCCACACUACCCUGACUCACAACAACAGCAUGUUCCGGGCUCAUGGGAUCCUCACACUAUGGACUGGGAAUCUGAUGGUUUUAAUAAUCACCUGUUUUGAUAAUUGGAUCCAGUGCGUUUCACGAUUUCAACAAAUCUUAAAAAAGAUGUCGAACAGCCCUAUACACUUAUUAAUAUUAACGAA